CGUUUUGUGUAACUAUGGAAUAUUUAUUAUUUAAAUUUCUCGACUGCCGCUCGGCGGCACUAAAUCAUGCGACAGGCCCGAAAACACUCGCAUAUUCGUAAGUUGUUUCUUUUUUUUUCGUCGACGCAUGAUUUAGGUGCAGCCAUAAAUUCAAUUUUAAGCUUUUUGGUAUUUCAUUUCGGUCUGGCUCCGGUCGGGAUCUGGUUUUGGAUGAGGGUACUGGUACCAGUUCGGGUCCGGGGCCAAGAUAAACACUUGACAACGUGCUAAGGCCGGCCACUGGCAACGGCAACGCGAUAAGCGCAUAAAUAAAGCCCCCGUAAUAAAUUCAGCGUCGCAUUUGACGCCGCCAUCGCAUCUGUGUAUCCAUGGAACUCUUUCGAGGGGGAAAGGGUAUUGUGACACUGACACUUGCCAUGAUUCUCCAAGCAACAAGCCCCAUGCUUCAUGGUCCUCCAGAGCCACUCACGACGACCACUUGGCCCAACUGUACCAUGCAUCAUCUGUGGAGGCUGUGUAAAUAAACCAUUGAGACAAGUCAUUAUUUCUGCGAGACAAGUCAACAUUUAUGAGACCUUUUAAGCCUUUCAGUAGAACCUAAGGAGGCUUUACUUAGUCUUUCAAUCGGAAGGUCAAGAAAAAACAUAUAUUGGACACAGAAUCAGAGGCUCAAGGGGAUUUUAGCAAAUAACAAACUAGCUAACAGGCUAUUUUUCAAAUUAUUUUAUGAUAUAAGCUAGCCACUGCCAUCUGGUCAGCUGUUGUUACCGGCCAUAAUUGCCCGGCAGGACGACGGAGAAUAUACGACAUCUGCGUCGAUGGAACAAAACACACUGUCGGAAAGGAUGAAAAUCCUGCAGACAGCAAUUCACGGCAAUCAAACAGCGCGGAACACGAGUUAAAAGGCGAAAGGAUGCGGCGCAGUGUGAGAGUGGCAAGUCCAUUAAAAGGACAUUCCACGCCGGCGAUCCACAUGUGUCCGCUCGACGUGCCGUGCCAAAAGGACGCAGGCACUCCGGCUCUUUCAUAUUUUCCUUUUUAAUUUCCUUUUUUUUUCUCUCCUUUUUUGUUUUUGUAAAUUGAAAACUGUGUGCGAUGCGGAUGCAGCAUUGCGUGGCAAUUACACAGGCCCUCAUAAA